rnacentral:rRNA from 1 species
GACGAACGCUGGCGGCGUGCCUAAUACAUGCAAGUCGAGCGGACCAAAGGGAGCUUGCUCCUGGAGGUUAGCGGCGAACGGGUGAGUAACACGUGGGCAACCUGCCUGUAAGACUGGGAUAACAUCGAGAAAUCGGUGCUAAUACCGGAUAAUAAAAAGAACUGCAUGGUUCUUUUUUGAAAGAUGGUUUCGGCUAUCACUUACAGAUGGGCCCGCGGCGCAUUAGCUAGUUGGUGGGUAACGGCUCACCAAGGCGACGAUGCGUAGCCGACCUGAGAGGGUGAUCGGCCACACUGGGACUGAGACACGGCCCAGACUCCUACGGGAGGCAGCAGUAGGGAAUCUUCCGCAAUGGACGAAAGUCUGACGGAGCAACGCCGCGUGAGUGAUGAAGGUUUUCGGAUCGUAAAACUCUGUUGUUAGGGAAGAACAAGUGCCGUUCGAAAGGGCGGCACCUUGACGGUACCUAACGAGAAAGCCACGGCUAACUACGUGCCAGCAGCCGCGGU